UGUCCAGUUCCAGGAUGAUGCACAAGCUGUUGUUCAUUCCACACAGAGAAACUGCAUCCCUGACUUCCAGCCUUCCUGCAACCCAGUCCUGCUCUCUCCUGGAGCUGUUCCCUCAACAGAGUUCAUAAAUUAGUUAGAGGCAAAGACCAUGGGCCCCCAUGAUUGGACUAGGCGUCUUCCACUCUGAUAGUAAUGCUUGGGAGAUAGCCCUGGGGAAUAAGAUACCUGGAGAACAGAAUUGAGCAAAUCUCUUUACACAAACAAACAAAUUUUCUGUGACGGAUUCAGACUUGUCUAUUUAAAAUGCUUUUACUGAUAGGGACAUACCCACUGACCAUUGUUUCUUCCCUGACCCGUUGCAUGUCAACAGUAUUUUUCAGUGCCUACGUGCACAGAUUUCACCCUCACUGUGUCAUCUUGCACUUUCAUUUCCUUUCUCGUGGUUUCUGGGGACAAGGCUUUCUAAAAGGCAAUGUUCCAUUUUCUGCUUUCAGAAGGACCUCUCUGAUGGCAAUCUUUCAAAUUUCUAUUCUUGACUGCUCAAAGUUGAGCCAAGUGGGAGGGUUAAGAAGAAUUCUGCUACAAUUCAUCUAAUGGACUUCCCAAUUUUCCAUUUAUUAAAGUACUGUAUUUAACAUUGUUUAUGGAACUUGAAUUACAAGGGCGGGUCACAUGACUGAGAAGAAUGCACUUGGAGUACAGCAUCAGCAAACAGGCUGAACAGAUAUUGAAAGAGAGGAAAAAACAACUGCAUUGAAGCAGAAGAUGCUAGGACAAAAGGAAAGCUGUGCAGAGACACUUUUUAUUCCUGUGAGCAGCACCAAAAAUACAGAUAUAUGAAGAGGAGCACUUCCUAGUGACAGGAAAACAGUCCAGACACGCAGCACUCACACCCACAGAGAAGAUGGAGCAGACCUCCCAGGCCUGGUGGGUGCAUUGCUUUCCUGGGAGAUCAUGACAGAUCUGUGAUGCUGUGGACAUGCUGCAGAAACACAACAGCCUUCCUCAAGUAAAACGUGGAAGGAAAAAGAAAAUAAAAAG